rnacentral:rRNA from 1 species
AGAGUUUGAUCCUGGCUCAGGAUGAACGCUGGCGGCGUGCCUAAUACAUGCAAGUCGAGCGAACAGAUGAGAAGCUUGCUUCUCUGAUGUUAGCGGCGGACGGGUGAGUAACACGUGGGUAACCUACCUAUAAGACUGGGAUAACUCCGGGAAACCGGGGCUAAUACCGGAUAAUAUUUUGAACCGCAUGGUUCAAUAGUGAAAGACGGUUUCGGCUGUCACUUAUAGAUGGACCCGCGCCGUAUUAGCUAGUUGGUAAGGUAACGGCUUACCAAGGCGACGAUACGUAGCCGACCUGAGAGGGUGAUCGGCCACACUGGAACUGAGACACGGUCCAGACUCCUACGGGAGGCAGCAGUAGGGAAUCUUCCGCAAUGGGCGAAAGCCUGACGGAGCAACGCCGCGUGAGUGAUGAAGGUCUUCGGAUCGUAAAACUCUGUUGUUAGGGAAGAACAAAUUUGUUAGUAACUGAACAAGUCUUGACGGUACCUAACCAGAAAGCCACGGCUAACUACGUGCCAGCAGCCGCGGUAAUACGUAGUGGCAAGCGUUAUCCGGAAUUAUUGGGCGUAAAGCGCGCGUAGGCGGUUUCUUAAGUCUGAUGUGAAAGCCCACGG